UACGUAGGGGGCAAGCGUUGUCCGGAAUCAUUGGGCGUAAAGGGCGCGUAGGCGGUCCUGUAAGUCCUGUGUGAAAUCCCUCGGCUCAACCGAGGAACUGCACAGGAAACUGCGGGACUUGAGUUCGGGAGAGGGAAGCGGAAUUCCGGGUGUAGCGGUGAAAUGCGUAGAUAUCCGGAGGAACACCGGUGGCGAAGGCGGCUUCCUGGACCGACACUGACGCUGAGGCGCGAAAGCCAGGGGAGCAAACGGG
rnacentral:rRNA from 1 species